AUUUCUAAAAAUUCUGGAAUGGGAAAGGUUUUACAAACAUGUAAAAUUAUUGUAUGGGAUGAAUGUACGAUGGCUAAUAAAAAAUCACUGGAAGCCUUAAAUAGAACACUGAAAGAUUUUCGAAAUAACCCAAACAUAUUUGGUGGUGCACUAAUUCUAUUGGCCGGUGAUUUUCGACAAACUUUGCCUGUUAUUCCCAAAUCAACAGCAGCUGAUGAAUUGUGAGCGUGCCUUAAAUCUUCUAAUCUGUGGAGAUAUGUUCAAAAACUCACAUUAACUACUAAUGUUCGUGUGCAGUUACAGAAUGAUCCAACAGCUGCUGAAUUUUCCGAACAUUUGUUGCAAAUUGGAAAUGGACGAAAGCCAAUUGAUAAGAAUACAGGCAUGAUCACACUUCCAACUAAUUUUUGUACCGUAACAGAAUCAAGAGUACAAUUAGUGCAAAAUGUAUUGCACAAAACUAUCGAAUUCAAGAUUGGCUAAGCAAGAGAGCUAUAUUACCUGCCAAAAAUGUCGAUGUCAAUGAAAUCAAUGCCAGUAUUUUGACUCAAAUUCCAGGUGAAGUUGUCACCUAUAAAUCAAUUGAUUCAAUCACUAAUCCCGACGAUGUAGUGAAUUAUCCAAUUGAAUUUUUGAAUUCACUUAAUUUGCCUGGCUUGCCACCACAUCGUUUGCAAUUGAAAGUCGGCGCAGUGAUCAUUAUGUUGCGAAAUAUCGAUCAGACGGACAAGAUUAGCAGUGAAACGAACAAUGAACAAUGUAAUUGAAGCAACAAUUUUGAAAGAUAAAUUUAAAGGUGAAGAUGUUUUGAUUCCGCGCAUUCCAAUGAUUUCAACGGAUUUGCCUUUUGAUUUUAAGCGACUUCAAUUUCCCAUUCGCUUUGCUUUUGCUAUUACAAUCAAUCAGUCUCAAGGUCAAACACUUCAAUUAUGUGGAAUUGACCUAACUUAUCCAUGCUUUGGACAUGGGCAACUGUAUGUAGGAUGUUCUCGAGUAGGGAAACCAUCGUUACUUUAUAUUUAUACACCGCAUGAAAAUAAAACCAAAAAUUUUGUGUAUCAGAAGGCCUUAGAAUAAGUUAGUUUACAAUCAUUAGAGUAAGUCACUAAAAUAAAUAAAACAUUGUUAUUAGAAUAAAUCAUAAAAUAAUGGCCGAGCAUUAAUUAAAUGAUGAAACAAGAAAAAAAACAAAGAACACUUUUCAUUUAUAUUUUUCUUUCCCUCAGCGAAGCGGGUGAGGGUCCGCUAGUCAAGAUAUAUAUAAAUAUGUAAUAUAUGCUCAUCAGAACGAAAAGGUUAAUGCACUGAGAAUCUUAAACUCUGAAUCAGAUUAUACAAUAAAUUUACUAAUAUACAAGAAAUGUAUAAAUUAUUUUUACCAAUUGAAGAACAUCCUUAUAAAUUUACUCUAUAUUUAACCAUAAUCAUAAUUAUAAAGGGUGGUUAAGUUUCAAGGCGGCCGCCGUAGCCGAAUGGGUUGGUGCGUGAUUACCAUUCGGAAUUCACAGAGAGGUCGUUGGUUCGAAUCUCGGUGAAAGCAAAAUUAAUAAAAACAUUUUUCUAAUAGCGGUCGCCCCUCGGCAGGCAAUGGCAAACCUCCGAGUGUAUUUCUGCCAUGAAAAAGCUCCUCAUAAAAAUAUUUGCCGUUCGGAGUCGGCUUGAAACUGUAGGUCCCUCCAUUUGUGGAACAACAUCAAGACGCACACCACAAAUAGGAGGAGGAGCUCGGCCAAACACCUAACAGAAGUGUACGCGCCAAUUAUUUAUUUAUUUUUUUUUUAAGUUUCAAGCGUCGGUGUUGAUUUUGAAUAAAACACAAUUUUUUUUAGGAAAUUAUUUUUAUUUCUCUUUAUUAUAAUAAUAUUGGUAUGGCUUAAUUACGUAUGGAACAAAAUAUCGGCCAAAUGGCCGCCGCAGCCUCGGCGGCACACAUCCGUCCGAUGGUCCAAAUUUUCGAUGACGCUGAGACAUAAUUGAGGUUCUAUGCCGUUAAUGUGCCGAAUUAUCUCAUCCUUUAGCUCUUGAAUUGUUGCUGGCUUAUCGACAUACACCUUUUCUUUCAAAUAACCCCAAGGAAAGAACAUCGGCCCUUGAAAUUUAACCACCCUUUAUUAGCUUUAGUCACGUACUUAAUUAUAAAAUUAUAUAUAGUACAUGUCGACAACUACAAUGAAACAUCAGACACCAAAAGAGUUCGAAUUGGCUUAUCUAACCGAGUCACAACGUCUACAAAACCUGAUCCCUUCGAAAUGAGGACAUUUCAUUUUUAACGCAGGGGAGAGUGAACGACGUUAGUAUAAACACUAGUUAUAUACAUAUCGACAUACAUAACACAGGCCUGCGAAAUAUAACUUUUUUCAGUUUCUAGAAUGGCUGUACUUGUUUCUUGUAGUUUUUUAUGCGCUGAAAACGAAUCUGACCUUCAAAAUGCUCCAUCACGUCAGGAUUUUUGGUAAAUGAAGCCUAAAAGGUAAAAAAAUGGCCAUUUUAGCCAUUUUUGAUAAUUUUUUUUGGGAUAGAAAAUUUUUUUUUCAAUUUUCGACGAAAAGGUCGCAUAGUACAACUCUUUAGCUUUAAAACCCAUUUUUUAAAAUUAUUGUACGAUUCUUUAAAAAAAAGUUAUGACAUUUUGAAAUUAACAGUUUCAGUAACGCCAAUAGACGUUAUACCCAACGUAUGUGUAAAAAAAUGAUCAAAAAUGGCUAAAAUGGCCAUUUUUUGACCUCUUAGGCUUCAUUUACCAAAAAUCCUGACGUGAUGGAGCAUUUUGAAGGUCAGAUUCGUUUUCAGCGCAUAAAAAACUACAAGAAACAAGUACAGCCAUUCUAGAAACUCACCCUCGCAGGACUGUGUAAUCAAUGAUUACUCAUCAUUAACUAUACCGACACACAAAAAUACCAUGUGCACUUUAACCCUGUAUGAUAACAAUGUACAUAACACCAAAACAACAAAACUUAUCUCAACAUGAUUUACCACAAACUGCAACGGACAAACAAUAUAACAACAGAAAUGCACUAUCACUAAAACAAACAAUAAUAACCUUAAUAGCUAUCUACUAGUGAACAGAUAACGACCUACGCAUAUCUAUGCUAUAAAUAGUAUUAAGAUUGAUGUAAACGAGUUAGUCUAAGAUUAUGAAUAAAGAAUGCACGUCUUGGUGCAACAAAAAAUAUUCUUUUACUCAAUAUCGAUGUUAGAUAUUAACUAGCGGCAACGGAUGACUUGCUGCUCUUUAUGGAGGAGAAGAGAGUGGGGGUGGCCCUAAUACAGGAACAAUGUCGCAUGUAGGACAAAGUCACUGACCUUGACUAUCCUUACUACGUGCUACCACUUAAGUUUUGCAACGCAGAUCUGACGUCGGCAGUAUGUGAGCAGAGUUAAGGCUCCUGCUCCUGAUGCUCGGCAUGGGGUAGCAGCUACAUAAACAUACGAGGUGUAUGUAACCGAGCGGAGGUUAUUGAUAUAACACGAUUGUCAAAUAUCGGUUCAUUAAAAGUUGACCACUGCACACUGUGACUUUUUAUCGUUUUAGGAUGCCAAAAUUAAAAAAAAAAAGUUCUGCGAAAAUGAUUUUCUUUCGGUAUGUUGUGUAAAAAUGACCAAAUUUUACGACAGUGUACUCAAAAUUCAUCAAAACAAUAGUUUUAAGAAAGAUAACCGUUUACAAACACAAGCCGGUGCGUCAAUUGAAUAAUUUUUAUUUAUUAUCCGAACAUCGCUGUGAAGUUUGUCAAAAGAUAUAAUACGAAUAAGUAUCAAUUUCAUAAAAUUGAGUAUUUGCUGAUUAAAUUUCAACACUUUUGUACUUCAGGGGAUUCUGUGUUUCAGACACUGGAAUAAAAUUUUGCUACAAUUUGCUACCACAGCUUUAAUAGAAGUUUUCAUGGCGAUUCCUCGGAAAGAACUUUUUGAAAUUUGGCUGACGAGCUUAAAAGAAGCGCGUCGUUAUGCGGUGUUAGAGAAAAUUUUUGCGGUGAUCGGAAGAGACGUGGAUACUAAAAAGCUAGGAGAGCGUAUAAAAAAACUGUGUUACCAAUUUUCUUCAAAGUGGGAGGGGUCUUGCCGAGUUAAGGCCCGUGUUCUAGCCCGUAAUUAUAGUUGGUUUUCCAAGAGUGAAGACUUUGGAAAAUACCGUCUUGAUGUUGGGCCAUCAACUUCAUCCUCUAUUAGAUCCAAUGUAGGUAGACCACAUGUGGCGUUUUCCGAUUCUUCUCUUCGCACAAAGAAAAGAAAAGCAAAGAGUCUUUUAGCAGUAUCAAAUAGCGAAAAAGUGUUAAUGGCGGCAGAAAUGGGACUUAGAUCAAACGGUAAGUGAAAUUCCGCAAUAUUAUUUAAAGAGCUGUGUUUGUCUUCACCGUCAAGAGGUACUGUGUUGAAAAAAUCUCGACUUUCGAAAUAGCGCAACAAAAGUUUAUCGCCAGACCAAGCACUUGCGCUGAUAAUAGAUGCAAAUGAUUCAAGACAGCAUACAGCAGAAAUAAAUCCCAAAUUAUAUCCGUCGUAUAACUGCAUAAAAAAGUCCAAAGCUUUAUGUUACCCAGAAAAAAUCACAGUAACCGAAACGUAUGCCGAAAUUGAGUUGCAAGCGCUUAUUGAUCAUAGUAUAAAAAGGUUGUGUAACGCACAAAAAGAAGUACUGCUGUCGAUUCCCAGUAUUCAAGAAGUUUUCGUGACUUUCAAAUGGGGUUGCGAUGGUUCGAAGCAAAAACGGUAUAAGCAAAAGUUCAGCGAAGAAAAUCAAUCUGAUAGCAGCAUGUUUUUUGUUUCACUAGUACUUCUCGAAAUGUAUACUCUAGUUAAUCAACGUAGAGUUGUUAUAUGGAGGAACCCUUUUCCAUCAUCAACCAGAUAUUGCCGUCCCAUUAAAUUUUUGUUUGAAAAAGAAACGCGAGAUGCUAUUGUGAGAGAAGUAAAGAUUGUGGAAGACCAAAUUUCUAAUCUUCUUCCUACAAUAAUUAAGAUGGAAAAUUUAAACUUUAAAGUUACUAGUACACUAAUUUUGUGUAUGAUUGACGGUAAAGUAUGUAAUGCACUUUCAGCAUAAACCUCAUCUCAAGCGUGUUAUAUCUGUGGUGCUUCAGCGAAGGAUAUGAAUAAUUUUAGCGCUUUGUCGGAACGGAAAGUUGACGCAAACAUGCUAAGAUUCGGCAUUUCACCACUUCACUCAUGGAUACGGUGCAUGGAGUGUGUGUUGCACAUUGUAUAUCGGUUGGAACUAAGGAAAUGGUGUGUAAGAGGCGCCGAAAAUAAGGAAAAACUGAAACAGAGGAAGGAAAGCAUUCAAAGCAGAUUUAGAAACGAAACUGGGCUUUUAAUUGAUAUGCCAAAAGAGAAAUCUGGCAAUACAAAUGACGGAAACACAGCACGACGUUUUUUUAGUAAGGCAGAAGUUACUGCAGACAUUACAGGCAUUAACUUAUGUCUCUUAAAAAGGCUACUAUUCCAUUCAAGACAUAUAAUAUCGUCAUGCAUGGUUCCUAUUGGUCAGCUUUCUGAAGAAGCGCAAGAAUCGAGAAAUAAAGAUGUCAGAAGAUAUCGCGAAUGGUAUACAAUGAAAAGUUCACGAACUCAAACCAAUGAGGAUUUAUUGCACAGGCUUCUAAUAUCAUCCGAUCCCUACAUUUGCAGCUUACGUAAGCCAUCGAAGACCAAGCGCGGGACUUUGCCUCAAGAUGUAAUUGCAUUGCCGGCCCAGGAAGAAGUAUUAUGAAUAAUUGCUUUCGAAUAAGUGUUUAUGUUUUGUUAUGUUUAAUCUUUAGAAACUGUUUAUUGGCUUACUAUUAAUAAAAUAAAGAUCAGUGACAUAUUUAUCAUUGAAACAA